rnacentral:misc_RNA from 1 species
GCGUGAGGUCGGAGUUCAGUCUUCCCAGGCCCACCACUUUCAUCGAGUGAGCAUUCGUCUUCUGGUUACGGGGCCAUAGCUCAGCUGGGAGAGCGCGUGCUUUGCAAGCAUGAGGUCGUCGGUUCGAUCCCGUCUGGCUCCACCAGAUGGUUUGAUCACCGAGAUCUUGACCGUCGUCCGCGAAACAUCACUUCGCAUCCUGCUAGUCUGGAUAGACAGCAGUUUGCGUGUUUUCUGACAUCGUAAAGAGGAGAUCGAUCCGAGUUGGGUCGUGCAGCAUAUCGUUGCGCGAGCCUUCAUUAUCUCCGGAUCAUUUCGGCGCUCGCUUCCAGCCGUGAGGUUGGAUGCGGGUUGUAAAUGAUCCUUUUAGCGAAGCUUGACCGCCUCGCUAUCGGAACGAUCUUACGAAGCAAGCUGGUCUUUCUAGUCAAUGUCCGGCUGCGGAUAGCGUUCAUCGAGGGCGCGUGCCGCAAGGCAAUUCUGCAGACAACAUUCUGCCGAGUGUGUGGACAUUGAUAAUGAGAGCAAUCAAGUGCCUUAAGGGUGUUCGGUGGAUGCCUUGGCGCUGAGAGGCGAUGAAGGACGUGCUACGCUGCGAUAAGCCGUGGGGAGCUGCGAAGAAGCUUUGAUCCGCGGAUUUCCGAAGGGAAAAA